GUCGACAAAUACACAGGAGAAAAAGGGUUCUUCUUCUCAAAACCCUAAACUCAUCAAAUUGAUCAAAAUCAAGAGAAAUCGAGCUAGGAAAUUGGGGCUUUAACUAAAUUUGUGAUCACCUAAGCUAGGGAAUCACAAGUUUGACGCUUGACAAGCUAGGUGGAGACUUGGAAAGGAAGCAGGUCAAACGAAUCAAGUAUGGAGGAAAAGCUUAUUUAGGAUGCAAGGUUAAUAGGAUGCUAUGCUAUGAUGAAACAAGCUAGGAACUCUAGAAACACGCUAAAUAAAAUCUGAGUUGUCGGAAUAGUAUUGUUUAUGAGACUCGCUAUCUGUAAUGACUGUUAUUACUUUAUGUGUUAGUAG